rnacentral:rRNA from 1 species
GAUGAACGCUGGCGGCGUGCCUAAUACAUGCAAGUCGAGCGAACAGACGAGGAGCUUGCUCCUCUGACGUUAGCGGCGGACGGGUGAGUAACACGUGGAUAACCUACCUAUAAGACUGGGAUAACUUCGGGACACCGGAGCUAAUACCGGAUAAUCUAUUGAACCGCAUGGUUCAAUAGUGAAAGACGGUUUUGCUGUCACUUAUAGAUGGAUCCGCGCCGCAUUAGCUAGUUGGUAAGUUAACGGCUUACCAAGGCAACGAUGCGUAGCCGACCUGAGAGGGGGAUCGGCCACACUGGAAGUGAGACACGGUCCAGACUCCUACGGGAGGCAGCAGUAGGGAAUCUUCCGCAAUGGGCGAAAGCUUGGCGGAGCAACGCCGCGUGAGUGAUGAAGGUCUUCGGAUCGUAAAGCUCUGUUAUUAGUGAAGAACAAAUGUGUAAGUAACUAUGCACGUCUUGACGGUACCGAAUCAGAAAGCCACGGCUAACUACGUG